rnacentral:rRNA from 1 species
AACGCGAAGAACCUUACCAAGGCUUGACAUAUACAGGAAUACGGCAGAGAUGUCGUAGCCGCAAGGUCUGUAUACAGGUGGUGCAUGGUUGUCGUCAGCUCGUGUCGUGAGAUGUUGGGUUAAGUCCCGCAACGAGCGCAACCCUCGUUCUAUGUUGCCAGCGCGUUAUGGCAGGGACUCAUAGGAGACUGCCGGGGUCAACUCGGAGGAAGGUGGGGACGACGUCAAAUCAUCAUGCCCCUUAUGUCUUGGGCUUCACGCAUGCUACAAUGGCCGGUACAAAGGGUUGCGAUACUGUGAGGUGGAGCUAAUCCCAAAAAGCCGGUCUCAGUUCGGAUUGGGGUCUGCAACUCGACCCCAUGAAGUCGGAGUCGCUAGUAAUCGCAGAUCAGCAACGCUGCGGUGAAUACGUUCCCGGGUCUUGUACACACCG